AAACAGUGGCUAUGGACCCAAAGUGUUGCCUGGAAUGCCAUAUUUGAAAAUGAUGAUCAUCUAAUCAGACAUGACCAGACACUUUUAAGAAGCUAAGGUUGACUUCGUGGAGCCCGUGCUUACAAAACUCUGUUUGGAACAUUGGCCUUGUUCCUGGUUUACAGGUCUCCUGGCCUUGUAGCCAUGGCGAGCGCCGGAGUCUCCUCAGCUGCUGCUUCACAAAAGAGCUACCAGGUCUGCACUGAACGAUCAUACCAAGAAGCUUUUAAAAGCACGACCUGAAGUUUCUUAUGAAAACUGACAGCAGAGCAAACUCAGGAAGGCCUGUGGCCCAUCCAUCUUUUAAGAUGUCUGAUCUCCAGGACCCUGCCACCUGACCUUUGCUACCACCUUCCAAAAGAUGGUUCAACUGGUUUUAUCAGAACCACACCAACAAGAAUCCACGGGAUACAAGUUUUCUUUUUCAUUAUCUUUUUUUAUUGGAGUAUA